AUUGAACGCUGGCGGCAGGCCUAACACAUGCAAGUCGAGCGGCAGCGGGAAAGUAGCUUGCUACUUUUGCCGGCGAGCGGCGGACGGGUGAGUAAUGCCUGGGAAAUUGCCCAGUCGAGGGGGAUAACAGUUGGAAACGACUGCUAAUACCGCAUACGCCCUACGGGGGAAAGCAGGGGACCUUCGGGACUUGCGCGAUUGGAUAUGCCCAGGUGGGAUUAGCUAGUUGGUGAGGUAAUGGCUCACCAAGGCGACGAUCCCAAGCUGGUCUGAGAGGAUGAUCAGCCACACUGGAACUGAGACACGGUCCAGACUCCUACGGGAGGCAGCAGUGGGGAAUAUUGCACAAUGGGGGAAACCCUGAUGCAGCCAUGCCGCGUGUGUGAAGAAGGCCUUCGGGUUGUAAAGCACUUUCAGCGAGGAGGAAAGGUUGAUGCCUAAUACGUAUCAACUGUGACGUUACUCGCAGAAGAAGCACCGGCUAACUCUGUGCCAGCAGCCGCCGUAA
rnacentral:rRNA from 1 species